GGCGGCGUGCUAAUACAUGCAAGUCGAGCGGACCUUUUAAAAGCUUGCUUUUGAAAGGUCAGCGGCGGACGGGUGAGUAACACGUGGGCAACCUGCCUGUAAGACUGGGAUAACUUCGGGAAACCGGAGCUAAUACCGGAUAAUAUAAGGAACCUCCUGGUUCUUUAUUGAAAGAUGGUUUCGGCUAUCACUUACAGAUGGGCCCGCGGCGCAUUAGCUAGUUGGUGAGGUAACGGCUCACCAAGGCGACGAUGCGUAGCCGACCUGAGAGGGUGAUCGGCCACACUGGGACUGAGACACGGCCCAGACUCCUACGGGAGGCAGCAGUAGGGAAUCUUCCACAAUGGACGAAAGUCUGAUGGAGCAACGCCGCGUGAGCGAUGAAGGCCUUCGGGUCGUAAAGCUCUGUUGUUAGGGAAGAACAAGUGCGAGAGUAACUGCUCGCACCUUGACGGUACCUAACCAGAAAGCCACGGCUAACUACGUGCCAGCAGCCGCGGUAAUACGUAGGUGGCAAGCGUUGUCCGGAAUUAUUGGGCGUAAAGCGCGCGCAGGUGGUCCUUUAAGUCUGAUGUGAAAGCCCACGGCUCAACCGUGGAGGGUCAUUGGAAACUGGGGGACUUGAGUGCAGAAGAGGAAAGU
rnacentral:rRNA from 1 species